GUUCCGUAGUUUCUACGCUCCAGGACCACUACCUGGUGAAACUCGACUUCCAGGACAAGUGUUCCAUAGCUUCUGCGCUCCAGAUCCGCUACCUGGUAAAAUUCGAUUUCCAGGACGAGCGCUCCGUAGUUCUGGCUGUCGAGGUCCUCCACCUGGUAUAUCUUGACAUCCAGGAAAAGCGCUCUCUAGUUCUGACUGUCAUGAUUCUUGACCUGGUGACUUUUGAACAAGGGCUCCGUAGUUUCUACGCUCUAGGUCCGCUACCUGGUGAAACUUGACUCCAGGGACAAUUGCUUCAUAGUUUCUACGCUCCAGGUCCUCUACCUGAUAAAACUUGACUUCCAGGACAAGCACUCCGUGGUUUCUGCGCUCCAGGUCCACUACUCGGCGAAACUCGACUUCAAGAAGAGGACGAGGAGGACGAGGAGGUGGAGAAAGACAUGUAGAACAAGGAGGACGAGGUGGAUUUUCGCGCAAGCCCUGAUUCGGUAUAACCCGAAGUGGUUAGCGGUGGUCGUUGGAGGUGGUUGGCGGCGGUUGCGGGUGAUCAAGAUGGACGAGGUGGAGGACGAGGACGACGAGGACAACAAGGUGGACGAGGAGGACAAGGAUUUGUGCACGGAUUCGAGUUAUAACUCGAGGUGGUUAGCGGUCGUCGUUGGAGGUGAUCGGAGGUGGUUAGGGGUGGUUGCGGGUGAUCGAGGUGGAGGCCGAGGAGAAGAAGGACGAGGAUGACGAGGAUUUGUGUACGGAUUUGAGUUACAACCCGACGUGGUUAGUGGUGGUCGUUGGAUGUGAUCGGAGGUGGUUAGGGGUAGUUGCGGGUGAUCAAGGUGGACGAGAUGGAGGCCGAGGAGAAGGAGGACGAGGAUGACGAGGAUUUGUGUACUAUAAAUAUACCACUUAUAUAAUAUUCAACAGAGUGGGAGUAGGAGUAGGAGUACGAGUAGAAAAAGGAGUAGGAUCGGGAGUAGGAGUAGGAAUAGCAGUAGGAGUAGAUGUAGGAGUAGAAUUAGGAUCGGGAGUGAGAUCAGAAGUAGGAGUAGAAAUAGGAGUAGGAGGAUAAUCUAAAAAGAGGGAUACAAUAUCAAAUAAUCACGACCAGCUAGUUAUAAGUAUCGUUUAGAAUAGAAUAACACACGAUUUGCUCAAACACGCAAACGGUCAAAUAUAGUGAUUCUGCAGCUUCUCUGCAUUUGAAUUUAAAUUUGUCCGUCAGCGUGCACUGUUGUAUAAACUCAAACACUUUAUAAAUUGUUACUUUCUAUAUCUAAGUCAUCAUCGUCAUUCAUUGUUAC
rnacentral:lncRNA from 1 species